UAGAAUUCCACGUGUAGCGGUGAAAUGCGUAAAGAUGUGGAGGAAUACCGGUGGCGAAGGCGGCCUUCUGGACAGAUACUGACGCUGAGAUGCGAAAGCGUGGGGAGCAAACAGGAUUAGAUACCCUGGUAGUCCACGCUGUAAACGAUGUCGAUUUGGAGUUUGUUGCCUAGAGUGAUGGGCUCCGAAGCUAACGCGAUAAAUCGACCGCCUGGGGAGUACGGCCGCAAGGUUAAAACUCAAAUGAAUUGACGGGGGCCCGCACAAGCGGUGGAGCAUGUGGUUUAAUUCGAUGCAACGCGAAGAACCUUACCUGGUCUUGACAUCCACAGAAUCUUGCAGAGAUGCGAGAGUGCCUUCGGGAACUGUGAGACAGGUGCUGCAUGGCUGUCGUCAGCUCGUGUUGUGAAAUGUUGGGUUAAGUCCCGCAACGAGCGCAACCCUUAUCCUUUGUUGCCAGCGAUUCGGUCGGGAACUCAAAGGAGACUGCCGUUGAUAAAGCGGUGGAAGGUGGGGACGACGUCAAGUCAUCAUGGCCCUUACGACCAGGGCUACACACGUGCUACAAUGGCGUAUACAAAGGGAGGCGACCUCGCGAGAGCAAGCGGACCUCAUAAAGUACGUCUAAGUCCGGAUUGGAGUCUGCAACUCGACUCCAUGAAGUCGGAAUCGCUAGUAAUCGUGAAUCAGAAUGU
rnacentral:rRNA from 1 species